rnacentral:lncRNA from 1 species
CUCAUACAUUAUUUUCAAAAUAUAAAAUCUCUAGGAUUCUUUAGAAAGCUAAAAAAAAAAAAAUCAUUUUUAUUUGAAUACAAAAAAAAAAAAAGUUAAAAAAUGCUUCCGGCAACUUUACGGUCACAGUCAAGAGUCAACAAGGCUAACUAUUAUCCAAGAGCUCAGUGGUGCAAGAUCUCUUUGAACAGUUUUCUCCUGACAUUUCUGACCACCUCAGGGGGCAACCACUCAUAUAAACAACCUAACGACUUGAGAGAUCAAGAUUUAGACAACUUACCACUCACUGACAUUUAGACUUCCAACUUGAUCUAUGCCAACUGCUGUCUGAGACGCUGACUUCUGAGCAUGUCAAGGCUGCAAGCUGGCACGGACAAUGACCAAGGUCCUCCUCUCGCUUAUGCAGACUCAGGCCUGCUCCUGCUAGGGUGUCAGACUUCUGUACAGUAUAAACCAGCACGGUUUAAUUUGCACCAGUUGAGAAACAGCCCAGAAUUUAAAGUAGAACAUGGGAAACCAGCCAGAAGUGCUGCAGGGAGCCUAAAUUUCAUCUAAAGAAAAUGAAAUAGGGCAUCCAUAUGUCAUACAUUGAGAUGCUGAAAUGAUGGAAGUAGUAAAAUGAGAAGAAUUUGCUUCAAAAAUAAAGUUUACACUUCCUAAUUAUUGAACACAAGCAGCAUUAAACUGGGGACUUGCAUGAAAUAGGAAGAACUGUAAGAAAAGCAUUAAAAUCUAAUGCAAAAUGCUGUCAUGACAAACCUCUCUGUUUUGAAGCAGUAAAGCCCUGGUGCAGCAGAACCCUUUGAGUUGCCCUGGUGGCCAGGCAAGUGACCGUACCAGGGCCCUGUAAACCCACAAGCAGUGUCAGGCCGGCAGAGGCCUCUACCUGCUCCUCCACCAUUUUCCUCCGGGCUGACGGAAGAGGGCCCAAUGCUGCCAAGAUUUCGGAUCAGGCAUUUCGGAUUGAAAUGAGCUGGAUUCGCCUCUCACGAGUGACAUUGGCAGAAGGAGCCCAAAGCUGCCCAGAGGAUGGCGGCACUCGCCAAUGACCGCCAGCACAGGGGGGAAGACCCCGCUACGCGCCGCAACGUGUGACGUACCUAUAGAGGCUCGCCAGCCAUUGAAGCUCCGUGUGCUCUGGGGCAUGCCUAACAAAGGACUUCAAAGCUUUCAAAAAGCUGAAUUUCUCGGCGAUUAUCCGAACCAAAUUUCAGAAUCUUUUGAAGAUGGUUUGUCUCUG